UAUAUUUUAGUAUAUUUUGUAUAAAGGUUUUUGGAACUUUAGGAGGUAGAUAAAAUUCUAUUAAAUAUAA
rnacentral:tRNA from 1 species